rnacentral:lncRNA from 1 species
CCUAUUGGUAGCAUACUAUAUGCAUAAUCAUACUCUCUCACUACAUUAUCUCAGAUUAUUGGUUGGAUAUGAUAAGUAAAUCUGAUAUACUAUAUAUCUCCCUUAUAAAUGGCUUUUUUAUUAGUUUUCAAUCAUAAAAAUGACUAGUAUAGAUUCACUUGGAUUAAUUUACCUACUAUGUAUAUUAAUAUUCAUAUGACUAUCGUUAGGUUACCCCAUUAGGAUGAAAU